UACGUAUGGUGCAAGCGUUAUCCGGAUUUACUGGGUGUAAAGGGAGCGCAGGCGGUGCGGCAAGUCUGAUGUGAAAGCCCGGGGCUCAACCCCGGUACUGCAUUGGAAACUGUCGUACUAGAGUGUCGGAGGGGUAAGCGGAAUUCCUAGUGUAGCGGUGAAAUGCGUAGAUAUUAGGAGGAACACCAGUGGCGAAGGCGGCUUACUGGACGAUAACUGACGCUGAGGCUCGAAAGCGUGGGGAGCAAACAGGAUUAGAUACCCCGGUAGGCUGACUGACU
rnacentral:rRNA from 1 species